UCAGACGAUGCGUCAUGCAUAUCAAUAAGCGGAGGAAAAGAAACUAACAAGGAUUCCCCUAGUAACGGCGAGUGAAGCGGGAAGAGCUCAAAUUUGAAAUCUUAAAGGGUUUCCCUUUACGAAUUGUAGUUUAAAGAAGUGUUUUCUGUUGAGGUUUUGGUAAAAGUUCUUUGGAAUAGGACAUCAUAGAGGGUGAGAAUCCCGUAUUUGACCUUUACUUUCAACUCUGUGAUACACUUUCAAAGAGUCGGAUUGUUUGGGAAUGCAGUCCAAAAUGGGUGGUAAAUUUCAUCUAAAGCUAAAUAUUGGCGAGAGACCGAUAGCGAACAAGUACCGUGAGGGAAAGAUGAAAAGAACUUUGAAAAGAGAGUUAAACAGUACGUGAAAUUGUCAAAAGGGAAGCGUUUGACACCAGUGUUGUUUUUCUGAAAAUCAAUUAAAGAACUGUUUAUGCUAAGCUGUUUAGACUUUAUCAGCUAUCUGUUUAGUUUUGAGCUUUUCUUUAAUGCACUUUUCAGUUAACAAGUCAACAUCAAUUUCUUUUGCUGUAAAAAAGCUUGAGGAAGGUGGCUUGAGAUUCGUCUUAAGUGUUUAUAGCCUCUUGCCUAUGCAGUCGGAGAGAUUGAGGUCUGCAGCGUAGAUCCUUCGGGGCUAAAUGCAUUUGUGCUAAGUUAUAGCAUUUUAUAGACAACUUGUUGACUAUGAUUUGUCUUGUAGCUUACUCGCUUAUGUUAUUUUACCUACGCUUAGGAUGUUGACACACGCGCGUGCUCG
rnacentral:rRNA from 1 species